AAGUUAACAUAUAUAACACGUAUGUUAUAGAGAUCAGUCCUUUCAAAAGUUAACAUAUAUAACACGUAUGUUAUAGAGAUCAGUCCUUUCAGAGGUUAACAUAUAUAACACGUAUGUUAUAGAGAUCAGUCCUUUCAGAAGUUAACAUAUAACAUAUAUAACACGUAUGUUAUAGAGAUCAGUCCUUUCAGAAGUUAACAUAUAACAUAUAUAACACGUAUGUUAUAGAGAUCAGUCCUUUCAGAGGUUAACAUAUAUAACACGUAUGUUAUAGAGAUCAGUCCUUUCAGAAGUUAACAUAUAACAUAUAUAACACGUAUGUUAUAGAGAUCAGUCCUUUCAGAGGUUAACAUAUAUAACACGUAUGUUAUAGAGAUCAGUCCUUUCAGAGGUUAACAUAUAUAACACGUAUGUUAUAGAGAUCAGUCCUUUCAGAGGUUAACAUAUAUAACACGUAUGUUAUAGAGAUCAGUCCUUCAGAAGUUAACAUAUAUAACACGUAUGUUAUAGAGAUCAGUCCUUCAGAAGUUAACAUAUAACAUAUAUAACACGUAUGUUAUAGAGAUCAGUCCUUUCAGAGGUUAACAUAUAUAACACGUAUGUUAUAGAGAUCAGUCCUUUCAGAAGUUAACAUAUAUAACACGUAUGUUAUAGAGAUCAGUCCUUCAGAAGUUAACAUAUAACAUAUAUAACACGUAUGUUAUAGAGAUCAGUCCUUUCAGAAGUUAACAUAUAUAACACGUAUGUUAUAGAGAUCAGUCCUUUCAGAAGUUAACAUAUAUAACACGUAUGUUAUAGAGAUCAGUCCUUUCAGAAGUUAACAUAUAUAACACGUAUGUUAUAGAGAUCAGUCCUUCAGAAGUUAACAUAUAACAUAUAUAACACGUAUGUUAUAGAGAUCAGUCCUUUCAGAGGUUAACAUAUAUAACACGUAUGUUAUAGAGAUCAGUCCUUUCAGAGGUUAACAUAUAUAACACGUAUGUUAUAGAGAUCAGUCCUUUCAGAAGUUAACAUAUAUAACACGUAUGUUAUAGAGAUCAGUCCUUUCAGAAGUUAACAUAUAUAACACGUAUGUUAUAGAGAUCAGUCCUUUCAGAAGUUAACAUAUAUAACACGUAUGUUAUAGAGAUCAGUCCUUUCAGAAGUUAACAUAUAUAACACGUAUGUUAUAGAGAUCAGUCCUUCAGAAGUUAGCAUAUAUAACAUGUAUGUUAUAGAGAUCAGUCCUUUCAGAAGUUAACAUAUAUAACACGUAUGUUAUAGAGAUCAGUCCUUUCAGAAGUUAACAUAUAUAACACGUAUGUUAUAGAGAUCAGUCCUUCAGAAGUUAGCAUAUAUAACAUGUAUGUUAUAGAGAUCAGUCCUUUCAGAAGUUAACAUAUAUAACACGUAUGUUAUAGAGAUCAGUCCUUUCAGAAGUUAACAUAUAUAACACGUAUGUUAUAGAGAUCAGUCCUUUCAGAAGUUAACAUAUAUAACACGUAUGUUAUAGAGAUCAGUCCUUCAGAAGUUAGCAUAUAUAACACGUAUGUUAUAGAGAUCAGUCCUUUCAGAAGUUAACAUAUAUAACACGUAUGUUAUAGAGAUCAGUCCUUUCAGAAGUUAACAUAUAUAACACGUAUGUUAUAGAGAUCAGUCCUUUCAGAAGUUAACAUAUAUAACACGUAUGUUAUAGAGAUCAGUCCUUUCAGAAGUUAACAUAUAUAACACGUAUGUUAUAGAGAUCAGUCCUUUCAGAGGUUAACAUAUAUAACACGUAUGUUAUAGAGAUCAGUCCUUUCAGAAGUUAACAUAUAUAACACGUAUGUUAUAGAGAUCAGUCCUUUCAGAAGUUAACAUAUAUAACACGUAUGUUAUAGAGAUCAGUCCUUUCAGAAGUUAGCAUAUAUAACACGUAUGUUAUAGAGAUCAGUCCUUUCAGAAGUUAACAUAUAUAACACGUAUGUUAUAGAGAUCAGUCCUUUCAGAAGUUAACAUAUAUAACACGUAUGUUAUAGAGAUCAGUCCUUUCAGAAGUUAGCAUAUAUAACACGUAUGUUAUAGAGAUCAGUCCUUUCAGAAGUUAACAUAUAUAACACGUAUGUUAUAGAGAUCAGUCCUUUCAGAAGUUAACAUAUAUAACACGUAUGUUAUAGAGAUCAGUCUUUUCAGAGGUUAACAUAUAUAACACGUAUGUUAUAGAGAUCAGUCCUUUCAGAGGUUAACAUAUAUAACACGUAUGUUAUAGAGAUCAGUCCUUUCAGAGGUUAACAUAUAUAACACGUAUGUUAUAGAGAUCAGUCCUUUCAGAGGUUAGCAUAUAUAACACGUAUGUUAUAGAGAUCAGUCCUUUCAGAAGUUAGCAUAUAUAACACGUAUGUUAUAGAGAUCAGUCCUUUCAGAAGUUAGCAUAUAUAACACGUAUGUUAUAGAGAUCAGUCCUUUCAGAGGUUAACAUAUAUAACACGUAUGUUAUAGAGAUCAGUCCUUUCAGAAGUUAACAUAUAUAACACGUAUGUUAUAGAGAUCAGUCUUUUCAGAGGUUAACAUAUAUAACACGUAUGUUAUAGAGAUCAGUCCUUUCAGAGGUUAACAUAUAUAACACGUAUGUUAUAGAGAUCAGUCCUUUCAGAGGUUAACAUAUAUAACACGUAUGUUAUAGAGAUCAGUCCUUUCAGAAGUUAGCAUAUAUAACACGUAUGUUAUAGAGAUCAGUCCUUUCAGAGGUUAACAUAUAUAACACGUAUGUUAUAGAGAUCAGUCCUUUCAGAGGUUAACAUAUAUAACACGUAUGUUAUAGAGAUCAGUCCUUUCAGAGGUUAACAUAUAUAACACGUAUGUUAUAGAGAUCAGUCCUUUCAGAGGUUAACAUAUAUAACACGUAUGUUAUAGAGAUCAGUCCUUUCAGAAGUUAGCAUAUAUAACACGUAUGUUAUAGAGAUCAGUCCUUUCAGAAGUUAGCAUAUAUAACACGUAUGUUAUAGAGAUCAGUC